rnacentral:rRNA from 1 species
AAAUGACUCUCGGCAACGGAUAUCUCGGCUCUCGCAUCGAUGAAGAACGUAGCGAAAUGCGAUACUUGGUGUGAAUUGCAGAAUCCCGUGAACCAUCGAGUCUUUGAACGCAAGUUGCGCCCGAAGCCGUCAGGCCGAGGGCACGUCUGCCUGGGUGUCACGC